rnacentral:rRNA from 1 species
AUUGAACGCUGGCGGCGUGCUUAACACAUGCAAGUCGAUCGGUAACGCGGGGGCAACCCUGGCGACGAGAGGCGGACGGGUGAGGAACGCUUGGGAAUCUGCCUAUCAGCGGGGGACAACACGGGGAAACUCGUGCUAAUACCGCAUACGCUCUACGGAGGGAAGCCGGGGACCGCAAGGCCCGGCACUGAUAGAUGAGCCCAAGCCGGAUUAGCUAGUUGGCGGGGUAACGGCCCACCAAGGCGACGAUCCGUAGCUGGUCUGAGAGGACGAUCAGCCACACUGGGACUGAGACACGGCCCAGACUCCUACGGGAGGCAGCAGUGGGGAAUAUUGGACAAUGGGGGAAACCCUGAUCCAGCGACGCCGCGUGGGUGAAGAAGGCCUGCGGGUUGUAAAGCCCUUUCGGUAGGGACGAAAGCUCUCGACCUAACACGUCGGGAGGUUGACUUAACCUACAAAAGAAGCACCGGCUAACUCUGUGCCAGCAGCCGCAGUAAGAC